rnacentral:rRNA from 1 species
CGCUGGCGGCACGCCUAAUACAUGCAAGUCGAACGGAGUAGCAAUACUUAGUGGCAGACGGGUGAGUAACAUGUGGGUAUCUUCCCUAUGGUGAGGAAUAACACGAGGAAACUUGUGCUAAUACCUCAUAAGUCUUUACAGAGAAAGCUUUAUGCGCCAUUGGAUGAGCCCGCACUUGAUUAGUUUGUUGGUGGGGUAAUGGCCUACCAAGACAAUGAUCAAUAGCUGAUUUGAGAGGAUGAUCAGCCACAUUGGGACUGAGACACGGCCCAAACUUCUACGGAAGGCAGCAGUAGGGAAUCUUGCACAAUGGAGGAAACUCUGAUGCAGCGAUGCCGCGUGAGUGAAGAAGGCCCUUGGGUUGUAAAGCUCUUUCGUCGGGGAAGAAAAUGACUGUACCCGAAUAAGAAGGUCCGGCUAACUUCGUGCCAGCAGCCGCGGUAAUACGAAGGGACCUAGCGUAGUUCGGAAUUACUGGGCUUAAAGAGUUCGUAGGUGGUUAAAAAAGUUGGUGGUGAAAUCCCAGAGCUUAACUCUGGAACUGCCAUCAAAACUUUUUAGCUAGAGUAUGAUAGAGGAAAGCAGAAUUUCUAGUGUAGAGGUGAAAUUCGUAGAUAUUAGAAAGAAUACCAAUUGCGAAGGCAGCUUUCUGGAUCAUUACUGACACUGAGGAACGAAAGCAUGGGUAGCGAAGAGGAUUAGAUACCCUCGUAGUCCAUGCCGUAAACGAUGUGUGUUAGACGUUGGAAAUUUAUUUUCAGUGUCGCAGCGAAAGCAAUAAACACACCGCCUGGGGAGUACGACCG